UACAGAGGGGGCAAGCGUUGUUCGGAAUUACUGGGCGUAAAGGGCGCGUAGGUGGCCUUCUAAGUUGAACGUGAAAUCCCUGGGCUCAACCCAGGAACUGCGUCCAAGACUGGGAGGCUUGAAUCCGGGAGAGGGAUGCGGAAUUCCAGGUGUAGCGGUGAAAUGCGUAGAUAUCUGGAGGAACACCGGUGGCGAAGGCGGCAUCCUGGACCGGUAUUGACGCUAAAACGCGAAAGCGUGGGGAGCAAACAGG
rnacentral:rRNA from 1 species